UACGGGAGGCAGCAGUAGGGAAUCUUCCACAAUGGACGAAAGUCUGAUGGAGCAACGCCGCGUGAGUGAUGAAGGUUUUCGGAUCGUAAAACUCUGUUGUAAGGGAAGAACACGUACGAGAGGGAAUGCUCGUACCUUGACGGUACCUUA
rnacentral:rRNA from 1 species